CCUACGGGUGGCAGCAGUGGGGAAUAUUGCGCAAUGGGCGCAAGCCUGACGCAGCAACGCCGCGUGAGGGAAGAAGGCUUUCGGGUUGUAAACUUCUUUUCUCAGGGACGAAGAAAGUGACGGUACCUGAGGAAUAAGCCACGGCUAACUACGUGCCAGCAGCCGCGGUAAUACGUAGGUGGCAAGCGUUAUCCGGAUUUAUUGGGUGUAAAGGGCGGGUAGGCGGGGGGACAAGUCCGAUGUGAAGACUCAGGGCUCAACCUGGGGACUGCAUUUGAAACUGUGUUACUUGAGUGUUGGAGAGGAUAGCGGAAUUCCGGGUGUAGCGGUGAAAUGCGUAGAUAUACGGAGGAACACCAGUGGCGAAGGCGGAUAGCUGGCAAGUAACUGACGCUGAGGCGCGAAAGCGUGGGGAGCAAACAGGAUUAGAUACCCGGGUAGUC
rnacentral:rRNA from 1 species